AGCGAACGCUGGCGGCAGGCCUAACACAUGCAAGUCGAGCGGGCGUAGCAAUACGUCAGCGGCAGACGGGUGAGUAACGCGUGGGAACGUACCUUUUGGUUCGGAACAACACAGGGAAACUUGUGCUAAUACCGGAUAAGCCCUUACGGGGAAAGAUUUAUCGCCGAAAGAUCGGCGCGGGUCUGAUUAGCUAGUUGGUAGGGUAAUGGCCUACCAAGGCGACGAUCAGUAGCUGGUCUGAGAGGAUGAUCAGCCACAUUGGGACUGAGACACGGCCCAAACUCCUACGGGAGGCAGCAGUGGGGAAUAUUGGACAAUGGGGGCAACCCUGAUCCAGCCAUGCCGCGUGAGUGAUGAAGGCCCUAGGGUUGUAAAGCUCUUUUGUGCGGGAAGAUAAUGACGGUACCGCAAGAAUAAGCCCCGGCUAACUUCGUGCCAGCAGCCGCCGUAAGAC
rnacentral:rRNA from 1 species